AUCUUCGAUUUCUUGCUCUUGGGUAAGGACCUUGGUCUUUACUGAAAUAAUAACCUAAUUAAUAUAAAUUAUAUGGGUUUUAAUGAAUUAUAUGUUAGUGGUAUUAAUUUUGGGCUUUAGAAGUUAAAGUUCUUGAUGAACACUACUUGAAUUUCAGUUUCGUAGCUUCUGAUUGUAUUGCAUGUCUCAUCAGGUAAUCCC
rnacentral:lncRNA from 1 species